GCGAUGCUAGUGUAAUGGUAGCACAUCCGACUGCGCAAUACGGAUGGCUCUGGUUCGAUUCCAGGUUGUCGCC